rnacentral:rRNA from 1 species
UACAGAGGUGGCAAGCGUUGUUCGGAAUUACUGGGCGUAAAGGGCGCGUAGGCGGCCAUCUAAGUCAGACGUGAAAUCCCCCGGCUUAACCUGGGAACUGCGUCUGAUACUGGAAGGCUUGAGUAUGGGAGAGGGAUGUAGAAUUCCAGGUGUAGCGGUGAAAUGCGUAGAUAUCUGGAGGAAUACCGGUGGCGAAGGCGGCAUCCUGGACCAUUACUGACGCUGAGGCGCGAAAGCUAGGGGAGCAAUGGG